rnacentral:rRNA from 1 species
AUUGAACGCUGGCGGCAUGCCUUACACAUGCAAGUCGAACGGUAACAGGUUAAGCUGACGAGUGGCGAACGGGUGAGUAAUAUAUCGGAACGUGCCCAGUCGUGGGGGAUAACUGCUCGAAAGAGCAGCUAAUACCGCGUACGACCUGAGGGUGAAAGCGGGGGAUCGCAAGACCUCGCGCGAUUGGAGCGGCCGAUAUCAGAUUAGGUAGUUGGUGGGGUAAAGGCCCACCAAGCCAACGAUCUGUAGCUGGUCUGAGAGGACGACCAGCCACACUGGGACUGCGACACGGCCCAGACUCCUACGGGAGGCAGCAGUGGGGAAUUUUGGACAAUGGGCGCAAGCCUGAUCCAGCCAUGCCGCGUGCGGGAAGAAGGCCUUCGGGUUGUAAACCGCUUUUGUCAGGGAAGAAAAGGUUCUGGUUAAUACCUGGGACUCAUGACGGUACCUGAAGAAUAAGCACCGGCUAACUACGUGCCAGCAGCCGCGGUAA